rnacentral:misc_RNA from 1 species
AAGUCGUAACAAGGUUUCCGUAGGUGAACCUGCGGAAGGAUCAUUAACAAAGAUUGAAGUUCGCUUUACGCGUCUUCAACAAAUCCAUCCACACCUUGUGCAAUAUUGACAUCGAGGCAGUUCUUUCGGGAACUGCUGGUCUUGUGGGGGGAAAAACCUAAAGGAAGCAGCAAUGCUCACCUUUAAGCCCCCCAAAAGUAUUUAACCUAUAUUUUUAUUUUGUCUGAAACUUUUUAUUAAUACAAUAAAAACAACUUUCAACAACGGAUCUCUUGGUUCUC